GACUACCGGCAUCCUGGUCGCCAGGAUGCCGUAUGUAACCCAUAUAAAGCGGAUGUGGUCAGGAUCCUGGCAAUCAGGAUUCAGACAGUCAGAAUACCAGACAGCUGCAUCCCACCAGUCAGAAUCUCGACGAAGGUGUGCUUGGCCAGGGUCUGCGCCUUCCGUUGCAGAUUUCCUGGCCCCAGCAGAGUGAAAACACCAGCCAUCCUGUGUCACCUGAGGGUUAUUCAGAUGACCGAUGUUUACGGAGAGUAAUACAAUUCUGUGUCCCCAAACGCAGCAGCGGAUCACAGAAGCAUGCAGCAGGCGUCCAUUUACACAAUGAUCCCUCCUGCAGCAUUAGCAUAUGUACACACACCAGCCACAUUCAAAGACGCAGCUGCUGUCUGUACUGUGUCCAUCUCUGAAUUAGGUCUGAAAAUGGGAUAUAUACAGAGAUCCCAGGACACAGACUUACGGUAGACGUUAGACCAGCAGAUCCUUGUGGAGAACAACAGGGCGCCGAGAAAGGCGCGUCGCGGGAUUGUGACGUCACCAGCCCGGCGCCCUGCACGAGACACACAUCACUAGAUGCACGGGGUGUACUAUAAAGAGCAAUAAAAGUCAAUGAAAAGCAUCUACAUAUUACUUGUGUACGCUCUGGAUUUAUCUGCACAGAUGGAUGGAAUAUUUAUGGUGGCUGUUUCCAGCUAAUCAGAGUGUGAAACUGCUAAACUGCUGGCAAGGGCCCUACAUCAAAAUACAAAGAUGCUUUAAGGUUGUGUGAUUUUUCUGAAAAACCGAGGAUAAAUAUGACCUGAAGAAGGAACAAAUAACCCGUGUAUGCAGGUACCCUGCUGGAGAGAUUACAGAGUGCAGGCUGAUACUAACAAUGAAAA